GACGAACGCUGGCGGCGUGCCUAAUACAUGCAAGUCGAGCGGACUUUCAAGAAGCUUGCUUUUUGAAAGUUAGCGGCGGACGGGUGAGUAACACGUGGGCAACCUGCCUGCAAGACGGGGAUAACUCCGGGAAACCGGGGCUAAUACCGGAUAAUAUCUUCCUUCGCAUGAAGGAAGGUUGAAAGGCGGCGCAAGCUGCCGCUUGCAGAUGGGCCCGCGGCGCAUUAGCUAGUUGGUGAGGUAACGGCUCACCAAGGCGACGAUGCGUAGCCGACCUGAGAGGGUGAGCGGCCACACUGGGACUGAGACACGGCCCAGACUCCUACGGGAGGCAGCAGUAGGGAAUCUUCCGCAAUGGACGAAAGUCUGACGGAGCAACGCCGCGUGAGCGAAGAAGGUCUUCGGAUCGUAAAGCUCUGUUGUCAGGGAAGAACAAGUACCGUUCGAACAGGGCGGUACCUUGACGGUACCUGACCAGAAAGCCACGGCUAACUACGUG
rnacentral:rRNA from 1 species